UUGGGGAGGGGGGGUGCGACACGGCUCGGGCCCGCCAGUGCCCCAACGGGGCCCUAGUUAUUAUUAUUAUCAUUAUUUUUCCUCCGCUUUAAACUGGAAAAUGGCCCACUUCCCACUGGCGAAAACUCAUGAAAUUUGGCAGGACGACCGGGCCUGGUGAAAAAUUCGAUAUUCUGAAGUCGCCCAAACAAUAAAAUGCAAAAUGGCUCCAUAGCGCCCCCUAAGGUGAAAAUUCACACUAUUGACUGUCACGCCUUUACGCUUUGUCAUAUUGACACAAAAAUUGACACACACAUGUAUCUCAAUAAGAUCUACAAAAAAGUCAGUGCGGGCGUAUCUGUCAAAUGUACGGUUAAAGGGUUAUUUCGCAUUUUUUGCCGAUCCGCACACAUUGGAAUUUCGCUAACUCCUCCGAAGGCUUUCGUUCCAACGGCACCACAUUUGCUCAGGCCAAUCUACACCCCAUGGCCAUUAAAAGUUGUACAAAUCAUGACGCUGCACCCCACGGUUUACGUUCUAGAGGGCGCCAAAGAUAACCCAAAAAUCCACAGUCUAAAAAGUCUUAUAACUUUUUAUUUUUGUCCUCACUGGCCUCCAAGUUCUCUAGGAUGAUGCAAUGUCCAGCCAUCAACACAUUUGUGAAGGAAUUUUUACUCCCCAAAAGAGCGCCCCCCAAUGGCAGGAGAAAAAAGUCCAUUUUUCUUGUCUCCUAAGGCGAAAAUACACAUUGUUGACUGUCACGCCUUUACGCUUUGCCAAAAUGACACAAAAAUUGACACACACAUGUAUCUCAAUACGAUCUAUGAAAAAGUCAAUGCGAGCGUAUCUGUUCAAUGUACGGUUAAAGGGCUAUUUUGCAUUUUUUGCCGAUUCGCACACAUUGGAAUGUGGCUAACUCCUCCUAAGGCUUUCAUCCCACUGACACCAAAUUUGCUCAGGUCAAUCUACACCCCAUGGCCAUUCAAAGUUGUACAAAUCAUGACGCUGCACCCCACGGUUUACGUUCAAGGGGGCGCCAAAGAGGCCCCAAAUAUCCACAUUUUUAGAAGUCUUAUAACUCUUUAUUUUUGUCCUCACUGGCCUCCAAGUUUUCUAGGAUGAUGCAAUGUCCAGCCAUCAACACAUUUGUGAGGGAAUUUUUACUCCCCAAAAGAGCGCCUCCCCAUGGCAGGAGAAAAAGUCAAGUUUUUCCUGCCCAUCGCUCAAUGGCUCAAGCGCAUCGCUUUCUCGGCAAAACGGAAAGGAGGAGCAACUUGCCAUUUGGAUAUAUACUAGCUGUGUUUGUGCCCUCACUCAUGGUCCAGACUUUUUUCAAAAAGGACAUGGAGUUUGUCUGCAGCGAGCGUUUUGGUAGAAACUGCGCCUCCCAUUCAUUAUAAUGGUAAAUGACCACAGACAAGUGCGCACACCAUCUUUGGACCUUGAGUGUGACGCGAUCGGGAGGGGUAGGCGGUCGCGCUGGGGGCGGCGCGACACGGCUCGGGCCCGCCAGUGCCCCAACGGGGCCCUAGUUCUUUCUUUCUUUCUUUCUUCUUAUUUUUCCUCCCCUUUGAAGGGGAAAAUGGCCCACUUCCCACUGGCGAAAACUCAUGAAAUUUGACAGGACGACCGGGCCUGGUGAAAAAUUCGAUAUUCUGAAGUCGCCCAAACAAUAAAAUGCAAAAUGGCUCCAUAGCACCCCCUAAGGUGAAAAUUCACACUAUUGACUGUCACGCCUGUGCGCUUUGUCAUAUUGACACAAAAAUUGACACACACAUGUAUCUCAAUAAGAUCUACAAAAAAGUCAGUGCGGCCGUAUCUGUCAAAUGUACGGUUAAAGGGUUAUUUCGCAUUUUUUGCCGAUCCGCACACAUUGGAAUUUCGCUAACUCCUCCGAAGGCUUUCGUUCCACCGGCACCACAUUUGCUCAGGCCAAUCUACACCCCGUGGCCAUUAAAAGUUAUCAAAAUCAUGACGCUGCACCCCAAGGUUUAGGUUCUAGGGGGCGCCAAAGAUAACACUAAAAUCCACAUAUUUAAAAGUCUUAUAACUUUUUAUUUUUGUCCUCACUGGCCUCCAAGUUUUCUAGGAUAAUGCAAUGUCCAGCCAUCAACACAUUUGUGAAGGAAUUUUUACUCCCCAAAAGAGCGCCCCCCCAUGGCAGGAGAAAAAAGUCCAUUUUUUCUUGUCCCCUAAGGUGAAAAAACACAUUGUUGAAUGUCACGCCUAUACGCUUUGUCAAAAUGACACAAAAAUUGACAAUCAUGUGUAUCUCAAUAAGAUCUACGAAAAAGUCAAUGGGCACGUAUCUGUAAAAUGUACGGUUAAAGGGCUACUUCGCAUUGUUUGCCGAUUCGCACACAUUGGAAUGUGGCUAACUCCUCCUAAGGCUUUCGUCCCACCGACACCAAAUUUGCUCAAGCCGAUCUACAUCCCAUGGCCAUUCAAAGUUGUAAAAAUCAUGACGCUGCACCCCACGGUUUACGUUCUAGGGGGCGCCAAAGAUGACCCAAAUAUCCACAUUCUUAAUAGAAUCCACAUCCCCCCCCCCCCCCCCCCCAAGGCAGGAGAAAAAGUCAAGUUAACCCUGCCCAUCGCUCAAUGGCUCAAUCGCCUCGCUCUCCCGGCAACACCGUAAGGAGGAGCAACUUGCCAUUUGGAUAUAUCCUAGCUGUGUUUGUGCCCUCACUCAUGGUCCAGACUUUUUUCAAAUAGGACAUGUAGUUUGUCUGCAGCGACCGUUUUGGUAGAAACUGCGCCUCCCAUUCAUUAUAAUGGGAAAUGACCACAGACAAGAGUGCACACCAUCUUUGGACCUUGGGUGUGACGUGAUCGGGAGGGGGAGGCGGUGGCGCUGGGGGCGGCGCGACGCGGCUCGGGCCCGACAGUGCCCCACCGGGGCCCUAGUUAUUUUUCUGCCCCUUUGAACUGGAAAAUGGCCCACUUCCCAAUGGUGAAAACUCAUGAAAUUUGGCAGGACGACCGGGCCUGGUGAAAAAUUCGAUAUUCUGAAGUCGGCCAAACAAUCAAAUGCAAAAUGGCUCCAUAGCGCCCCCUAAGGUGAAAAAUUCACUUGAUUGAGUGUCACACCUGUACGCUUUGUCAAAAUGACACAAAAUUUGACACACACGUGUAUCUCAAUAAGAUCUACAAAAAAGUCAGUGCGGGCGUAUCUGUCAAAUGUAUGGUUAAAGGGCUAUUUCGCAUUUUUUGCCGAUCCGCACACAGUGGAAUUUCGCUAACUCCUCCGAAGGCUUUCGUUCCACCGGCACCAAAUUUGCUCAGGCCAAUCUACACCCCAUGGCCAUUAAAAGUUGUACAAAUCAUGACGCUGCACCCCACGGUUUACGUUCUAGGGGGCGCCAAAUAUAACCCAAAAAUCCACAGUCUUAAAAGUCUUAUAACUUUUUAUUUUUGUCCUCACUGGCCUCCAAGUUUUCUAGGAUGAUGCAAUGUCCAGCCAUCAACACAUUUGUGAAGGAAUUUUUACUCCCCAAAAGAGCGCCCCCCCUUGGCAGGAGAAAAAAGUCCAUUUUUUCUUGUCCCAUAAGGUGAAAAUACACAUUGUUGAGUGUCACGCCUGUACACUUUGUCAUAUUGAAACAAAAUUUGACAAUCACGUGUAUCUCAAUAAGAUCUACGAAAAAGUCAAUGCGCAUGUAUCUGUAAAAUGUACGGUUAAAGGGCUAUUACGCAUUUUUGAUCGAUUCGCACACAUUGGAAUGUAGCUAACUCCUCCUAAAGCUUUCGUUCCACCGGCACCAAAUUUGCUCAGGCCAAUCUACACCCCAUGGCCAUUAAAAGUUGUACAAAUCAUGACGCUGCACCCCACGGUUUACGUUCUAGGGGGCACCAAAGAUAACCCAAAAAUCCACAUUAUGAAAAGUCUUAUAACUUUUCAUUUUUGUCCUCACUGGCUUCCAAGUUUUCUAGGAUGAUGCAAUGUCUAGCCAUCAACACAUUUGUGAAGGAAUUUUUACUCCCCAAAAGAGCGCCCCCCCAUGGCAGGAGAAAAAGUCAAGUUUUUCCUGCCCAUCGCUCAAUGGCUCACACUAUUCACACUAUUGAUUGUCACAGCUGUACGCUUUGUCAUAUUGACACAAAAAUUGACACACACAUGUAUCUCAAAAGAUCUACAAAAAAGUCAGUGCAGGCCUUUCUGUCAAAUUUACGGUUAAAGGGUUAUUUCGCAUUUUUUGCCGAUCCACACACCUCGGAAUUUCGCUAACUCCUCUGAAGGCUUUCGUUCCAUCAGCACAACAUUUGCUCAGGUCAAUCUACACCCCAUGGCUAUUAAAAGUUAUUCAAAUCAUGACGCUGCACCCCACGGUUUAGGUUCUAGGGGGCGCCAAAGAUAACCCAAAAAUCCACAUAUUUAAAAGUCUUAUAACUUUUUAUUUUUGUCCCCACUGGCCUCCAAGUUUUCUAGGAUGAUGCAAUGUCCAGCCAUCAACACAUUUGUGAAGGAAUUUUUACUCCCCAAAAGAGCGCCCCCACAUGGCAGGAGAAAAAAGUCCAUUUUUUCUUGUCGCCUAAGGUGAAAAUUCACAUUGUUGAGUGUGACACCUGCAUGCUUUGUCAUAUUGACACAAAAUUUGACAAUCACGUGUAUCUCAAUAUGAUCUACGAAAAAGUCAAUGCGCGCGUAUCUGUAAAAUGUACGGUUAAAGGGUUAUUUCGCAUUUUUUGCCGAUCCACACACAUCGGAAUUUCGCUAACUCCUCUGAAGGCUUUCGUUCCAUCAGCACAACAUUUGCUCAGGUCAAUCUACACCCCAUGGCCAUUAAAAGUUAUUCAAAUCAUGACGCUGCACCCCACGGUUUAGGUUCUAGGGGGCGCCAAAGAUGACCCAAAAAUCCACAUUCUUAAAAGAAUCCACAUCCCCCCCCCCCCCCCCCCCCCAUGGCAGGAGAAAAAGUCAAGUUUUUCCUGCCCAUCGCUCAAUGACUCAAUCGCAUCGCUCUCCAGGCAACACCGUAAGGAGGAGCAACCUGCCAUUUGGAUAUAUCCUAGCUGUGUUUGUGCCCUCACUCAUGGUCCAGACUUUUUUCAAAUAGGACGUGUAGUUUGUCUGCAGCGACCGUUUUGGUAGAAACUGCGCCUCCCAUUCAUUAUAAUGGGAAAUGACCACAGACAAGUGCGCACACCAUCUUUGGACCUUGAGUGUGACGCGAUCGGGAGGGGGAGGUGGUCGCACUGGGGGGCGGCGCGACGCGGCUCGGGCCCGACAGUGCCCCACCGGGGCCCUAGUUUCUUUUUCCUCCCCUUUGAACUGGAAAAUGGCCCACUUCCCACUGGCGAAAACUCAUGAAAUUUGGCAGGACGACCGGGCCUGGUGAAAAAUUUGAUAUUCUGAAGUCGCCCAAACAAUAAAAUGCAAAAUGGCUCCAUAGCGCCCCCUAAGAUGAAAAUUCACACUAUUGAUUGUCACGGCUGUACGCUUUGUCAUAUUGACACAAAAAUUGACACACACAUGUAUCUCAAUAAGAUCUACAAAAAAGUCAGUGCGGGCCUUUCUGUCAAAUUUACGGUUAAAGGGUUAUUUCGCAUUUUUUGCCGAUCCACACACAUCGGAAUUUCGCUAACUCCUCUGAAGACUUUCGUUCCAUUGGCACAACAUUUGCUCAGGUCAAUCUACACCCCAUGGCCAUUAAAAGUUAUUCAAAUCAUGACGCUGCACCCCACGGUUUAGGUUCUAGGGGGCGCCAAAGAUAACCCUAAAAUCCACAUAUUUAAAAGUCUUAUAACUUUUUAUUUUUGUCCCCACUGGCCUCCAAGUUUUCUAGGAUGAUGCAAUGUCCAGCCGUCAACACAUUUGUGAAGGAAUUUUUACUCCCCAAAAGAGCGCCCCCACAUGGCAGGAGAAAAAAGUCCAUUUUUUCUUGUCCCCUAAGGUGAAAAUACACAUUGUUGAGUGUCACGCCUAUACGCUUUGUCAUAUUGACCCAAAAUUUGACAUACACGUGUAUCUCAAUAAGAUCUACGAAAAAGUCAAUGGGCACGUAUCUGUAAAAUGUACGGUUAAAGGGUUAUUUCGCAUUUUUUCCCGAUCCGCACACAUUGGAAUUUCGCUAACUC